rnacentral:rRNA from 1 species
GUGUCAGCCGCCGCGGUAAAACGUAGGAGACAAACGUUAUCCGGAGUUACUGGGCGUAAAGGGCGUGCAGGUGGUCUGUUAAGUCUGGCGUGAAAGCUCCUGGCUAAACCGGGAGAGGUCGUUGGAUACUGGCGGACUAGAGGACGGUAGAGGCGUGUGGAAUUCCGGGUGUAGUGGUGAAAUGCGUAGAGAUCCGGAGGAACACCAGUGGCGAAGGCGACACGCUGGGCCGUACCUGACACUGAUACGCGACAGCAUGGGGAGCGAACGGGAUUAGAAACCCCAGUAGUCC